rnacentral:rRNA from 1 species
UGGGCAAUCUGCCCUUCACUCUGGGACAAGCCCUGGAAACGGGGUCUAAUACCGGAUAACACUCUGUCCCGCAUGGGACGGGGUUAAAAGCUCCGGCGGUGAAGGAUGAGCCCGCGGCCUAUCAGCUUGUUGGUGGGGUAAUGGCCUACCAAGGCGACGACGGGUAGCCGGCCUGAGAGGGUGACCGGCCACACUGGGACUGAGACACGGCCCAGACUCCUACGGGAGGCAG